AGAGCGAACGCUGGCGGCAGGCCUAACACAUGCAAGUCGAACGAAUCCUUCGGGAUUAGUGGCGGACGGGUGAGUAACACGUGGGAACGUGCCCUUUGGUUCGGAACAACUCAGGGAAACUUGAGCUAAUACCGGAUAAGCCCUACGGGGGAAGAUUUAUCGCCAUUGGAGCGGCCCGCGUCUGAUUAGCUAGUUGGUGAGGUAAAGGCUCACCAAGGCAACGAUCAGUAGCUGGUCUGAGAGGAUGAUCAGCCACAUUGGGACUGAGACACGGCCCAAACUCCUACGGGAGGCAGCAGUGGGGAAUCUUGCGCAAUGGGCGAAAGCCUGACGCAGCCAUGCCGCGUGAAUGAUGAAGGUCUUAGGAUUGUAAAAUUCUUUCAGCAGGGACGAUAAUGACGGUACCUGCAGAAGAAGCCCGGCUAACUUCGUCGCCAGCAGCCGC
rnacentral:rRNA from 1 species